rnacentral:rRNA from 1 species
AACAAACGCUGGCGGCGUGCCUAAUACAUGCAAGUCGAACGGGGUAGCAAUACCUAGUGGCGCACGGGUGAGUAACGCGUGGAUAAUCUGCCUUAGAGUGGGGGAUAACUAGUCGAAAGAUUAGCUAAUACCGCAUAAGACCACAAGAGCUACGGCUCAAGGGGUCAAAGGUUUUUCGCUCUAAGAUGAGUCCGCGUAAGAUUAGCUAGUUGGUGAGGUAAUGGCUCACCAAGGCGACGAUCUUUAACUGGUCUGAGAGGAUGAUCAGUCACACUGGAACUGAGACACGGUCCAGACUCCUACGGGAGGCAGCAGUAGGGAAUAUUGCACAAUGGAGGAAACUCUGAUGCAGCGACGCCGCGUGAGUGAUGAAGGCCUUCGGGUCGUAAAGCUCUGUCGCAGGGGAAUAACACAAUGAAUGUACCCUGUAAGAAAGGAUCGGCUAACUUCGUG